CUGUGAAUGCCAGUAACCCUCCAAAACAAGCCCGGUCGGGCUGGGCUGUCCACACCGUAUGAGCUUCUUCAGGAAUCAACACCUACAUGGCACAGCAUUGUUCUUUCUAUAAGCAACAAGGUUGAAAGACCCAACUUUCUGGCCCACGGACCCAAUUGGCACACGUAAUGAGGAGUUGAAGUUUUCUGGGGCUGAAGGUUGCUUCUCUUGGCUGCCCUGCAUGCAGCUCCCCCUCCCUCCCCCAUUCCCAGAAUUAUUUGGCUGCUAGUUGCCAAGGAGACGGCUGACAAUUUCCAGUUGCCAAGCCUCCCCCCUGAAGCCUACAGAGACAUUCUGGGAACUCCUUAGUCCAUCCUGAACCCUAGCCAGAAAACUUGGAACACCGGGCCAGGUUGGGGUGGAGGGCUUUGGAAGGAGGCGAGGGAAGCCAGCCAGUCCUGAAAGAAGGAGAGGGACUGGAGGUUUAUGUGGACUCUGGUUUUCUCCACAGAUCCCAGGUGCCUGGCCUGCAGUCAAGGGCUAAGGGCUGGCCUUGAUGGAUGCCCCUUCUGCUCUGUGUGAACAGAUGCUCAUCGGAUUCAGCUCAGGUGUUAACUGUGUCUUCUAGACAGGCCUUUUUACCACAGACGCAAAAACGGUCUCCACACUGUCACCUCAGGCCUAAGAGAAGCCCCGGCUGCUUCUAUCGAGGGAAAAUCCAGGAAAGAACCUGGCAGCUGAAAGCUGGGAAGGGAAACUUGGACAUUUUGUUGGCACCAAGCGGCACUUAACACCCGUUGAGACCGAACGUCACAGCCCAUGCUGUUUGAUAGGAAUGACGGCAGUGUCAAUCACAGCAACGGGAAAUCUUACUCUGCAAACGUAUGUGUGCAAAAAUACACACAUUUCCUUUAUUUCAUUAAAAUCGGAUUGAUUGCA